CAGAGGUUUUCCAGACACCAUUGGCCAUCCUCCAGUGAAGAGUCUUAAAUGAUAUGUUAUGGGAGGCUCUGCUCAGCUCUGAUUGUUGCCAUGCAGGAAUGUGUCCCAGAUCUUCCAAUGGUUUUCAAAAGAAGCUGGAGAUAAUACGGGACCUCAGAAGACUGAGGACAAAACCACAGAUCACCAUGUAGCAGAGCAGAC